AAUCAACGCUGGCGGCAUGCCUAACACAUGCAAGUCGAGCGAGAAAGUGUAGCAAUACAUGAGUAAAGCGGCGCACGGGUGAGUAACACGUGGAUAACCUGCCUCAAAGUGGGGAAUAACACCGGGAAACCGGUGCUAAUACCGCAUAUUCUGACGAGAUCUGUGGAUUUUUGUCAGGAAAGGAGCAAUUCGCUAUGAGAGGGGUCCGCGGCUGAUUAGCUAGUUGGUGAGGUAAUGGCUCACCAAGGCUUCGAUCAGUAGCCGGUCUGAGAGGACGGUCGGCCACACUGGAACUGAGACACGGUCCAGACUCCUACGGGAGGCAG
rnacentral:rRNA from 1 species